CACAUGUGCUCGCUCCGACAGCCUGUCAGAGAAAUCAUAGCUACAGGGACGGCGUGAUUGGUAACUCCCGGUCUGCCUCAAAUACCGAGGCAGACCGGAGGAGCGUUAACUCCACGAUUGCAGGUGAUCUGGGGUUAACUUUAGCGCAUGAUGGACCCAGUCCGGCAUGACUGACCGGGUCCGUCAUUCAUCAUUAAGGGGUUAAAGUAAACUUUUCAGUUAUUAUUUAAAUAGAUGUCCAGUUCUUAGCUGGCCCUGCACUCCUUUAAAGGAACACUACAGCAUUAGGAAUGUGCAUUUCUAACACUAUGGUGCCCUAGCCCCUGUUUAGGUAACCAUGCCCCCGCUGCCAAGAUUAAAAAGGGGAUUUUAUUUACGUUUUCUCCCAGGCAGCAAUGGUCUCCAACAUGCAGCUUUGCCUCUUUGGCUGAGAUCAUCGAUAUCAAUGAUCUCAGCCAAUCCAAGCUUCCCCAUUAGUAGGCUAGUGCAAGGCAAAACAAUGCACUGCG